CAGCGGUCAAAGGCUGCAAAUGCACUUUACACCGCCACUGCGGCGGUAGGAGUGGCGGUAAAAGCGGUGUUUUGGAUGUCUAGUUAGUGUUUAGACCCGAUAUAGUCCAGCUAUGUGUAACCCACUUUUAGCCCAAAUAACAUUUAAUCUGGAUAAAUGUAUUUUUUUUGCAAAAUAACUUGUGAGAUGUAUGAUAUUCCAUCAUGUACGCAGAGUCUACCGUGAUUACAAGUUGUUUGGUUUACUUUAUUUUACAUGUUAUAUGUGUAGGCUGUGCGUAGCAACGAUUUAGCUCGUAUUCAGACCCGGCUAUUGUAGCCCACUUUUAGUCAAAACUGAUUAAUUUAAUUUUUUUGCCAGGCAGUGCAUGAAAUGGUUAAUAUUCAAUCAUGUUCGCAUUGGUAUGAUAUCAAGGUUCAAUAUGUCAUUUCACGACAUGGUCGAUCUGUAGUCACAAUUUAGCUCCGAAUUGGAUGGGCUAUAUGCGGUCUGCUUUAGCCCACCUGGCGAAAUCAAGGCAAUCUGGUCUACGUACGGCUUGGCUAUAACCCAGAUUCAGACCAGCGACCUAGUAGGGGUGUCAACAAUAAUCGAUUCGGCAAUGCAUUGCGAUGUGGGGCAUGAACAAUUCAGCAUCGAUGCGGCAAAGUGCCAUAAUCGAUUAUGUCACUGUUUAUUUUCUGGCGGACAAUAAAGUUGUGAAGUUUAAAUACUUCCGGUUCCGGGAGAAUAACAACAACAACAAGCAAGAUGGCUGAGGCGGAGGGAGAUGACCAUCAUAGACGGACUAUUACAACAACAACAACAAAAAGUCGACACAUCCCAGCCAAGAAUUGACGAGUCACUAGUGUCAACAUUGCCACACAACUCCGAGAGAGCAAAGAGGAUCACACGAUCGGUGGCAUGUUUUAUAGCGAAACACUACUGAGACAUGUCUACUGGGACUACUGCCAUUGCGCGACUAGAUCACUUUAGCCAAAUUUCGCGAUAUACAUUUCCGCCAUUUUAUUUUACACGAGGCAGCUGUCGGAGAGCAACGGGUGAGCAACAGUCUGAGUGAAAACCUUCACAUUUCUACUUCGAUCUUAAGAAAGCCAUACAGGUUUGGAACCAAGUGAAAACGCAGUGAUGACCAGCUUUCCAUCAGUUAUGGAAUGUGAAAUAAAAAAUGCUAUUUCUAAUCAUUUCAAACAAGCACCAGGGAGGGCAGGGGGUGGGGGUUAUGGAUCUUAAGUAAACAGUUAAUUCUUAAAAAUUAAUUGUUUUACAUAUUUUUCCAAUGUUUUAUUUGUUAAUUUUUAUGUUUGAAUGUUGUCCAAGUUGUUGUUGUCUAUAUAAUUGUUCAAAAUAAAUCCCUUUAUAUUCAAUUAGUUUGGAUGGAUUUUCAUUUAUGAGAACCUGUUAUAUUUGAGUGAAAAAAAUCCUUAUGCCUCAUUUUGUUGUCUAUUACAUGUAUAUGUAGUGUAAUUGAUGACUAGUCUAUUCUUGGGCUAUGGUUAGACGUCUAUUAGAUUUUCACUGACAGCCCAAAAUCAGCCUUGUUUUAGCCUAGACCCAUAUUGCCUGUCUAUUAGACGUAUGUUGUUUAGCAGUCUAAUUGAUGAUUAGUCUAUUCUUGGGCUAUGGUUAGAUGUCUAUUGGACGUAUAAAUAUAGUCGUUCAAUAGCUGUCUGAUUGUCUAUUCUUGGGCUAUGGUUAGACGUCUAUUAGAUGUAUAUAUGUAGUCAUUCAAUAGCUGUCUAUACUUGGGGUAUGUUUAGACGUCUAUUCGAUUUUCACUGACAGACCAAAAUUAGCCU